UUUUCACAAAAACUCUGAUACUAAAAUCCCAACAUACGUAGGCUACGGCCACGAAAUCCAGUAGCAUGGGUCGCACAAAGUGCUAAACACUACUAUUGUUAUACACCGGUGGUACAGUGUCCAAACAUCACUAUUAUUAAACACCGGUGGUACGGUGUCCAAACACCAUUAUUCUAAUCACCAAUGGUACGGUGUCGAAACCCGACUCUCACAUAUACAGGUCGACAGGGCCAACGAAUAAUCCUCAUAGGCGGGGCCAGAUCAUAGCCAUGCUGAAAAUACAUACAUGUAUAUAAAAUAAAUUUUUCAUCAUUUGCCCAGUCACAUUUUUCAGAUUUCAUAACAUAUAAUAUAAAUUUCAAAUGAUAUUUAACAUGCGUGACCCAUUUUAAUAGGUACAAAAUAUAUCUCAAGAUUCAAUCACUAAUAAUUAUUUUAUCAAAUACUUUGAAAAAUAUACUUUGAGUAUUAAAUUAUUUACCUUUUAUUGCUUAAAUUCCACUUCAAACAAACAGAUCAAGUGCAUCUGUUUAGAUAUAAGAAAUUUUUUUGUUAAUUUCAGAGUAAAGCAAAAUCUAAAAUACUAUUAGACGUGGCCCAAUAGGGUCGCACACGACUGAGCUGAGCCCAAGUUGGGCUCAUAAUGGGUACGACCCAAAUAGGGUCCAACAAGGCUGAAGUAGGCCCAAGUUGGGCCCAUAAAGGGGUGUGGCCUCAAUUGGGCCCAAGUUGGGCCCGCAAUUAACAGAGCCCAAGCUUGGCCCAAUUCGGCCCAAUGGGCCUUUUUAUUUCUUUUCUUUUUCUUCUCUUUCUCUUCUUCUUUUUCUUUUCCCUUUCUUUUCUUCUUCCUAUUUCUUCCCAAAGCUUCCUUGUUUCCCUCCUUUUUUUCUUCUUCUCGAAGCAUUCGCUCAUCCCUUCUUUCUUUUCUUUCCCGAAGCAUCCUCCUUCCUCUUCUCUUCUCUUCUUCCUCUCACCUUCCCACUCUUCUCCUGUGAGCACACAAAAAAAAAAAGAUCCCAAGCCGGAGCUUGGGAAGAGGGGCGAUGGAGCUCUUGGAAGGGCCGGCCGAGGCCGGCAGCGCCUGCGGUGGCCCUCUCUUCUCCUGCGAUGGGGAGACACACCGGAAGAAGCCGGCGGCGUUGCAGGAUGACCGCGGCCGAGCCUGCGGCCGCUCCCUACGACGGUCACGGCUUUCAUAGCUGGGCUGCAGCAUCGCGGUGCUCAUGGCCAGGGUCAGCAGCGCUGGCGACGCACGCGGCCACACACGGUGAUCCUUUCCUUCUUACCCUUUCUCUCUUUCUUGCUUGCUUUCUUUCCUCCUCUCUCUCUCUGUUAUCCCAAGUAGAUCGGGAGGGAAGAAGGCUGGGAAGAGGAAAACUAAGAUGGUCGGAAGCUUACCUUACUUUGGAAAGGAGUCACGAGCGCCUUCUCCGGCGAUGCAGACGUCCGUUCAGGGAGCCCGGUCUCUGAGGAAGAAGG
rnacentral:lncRNA from 1 species